rnacentral:rRNA from 1 species
UCGAGAAUCAUUCACAAUGGGGGAAACCCUGAUGGUGCGACGCCGCGUGGGGGAAUGAAGGUCUUCGGAUUGUAAACCCCUGUCAUGUGGGAGCAAAUUAAAAAGAUAGUACCACAAGAGGAAGAGACGGCUAACUCUGUGCCAGCAGCCGCGGUAAUACAGAGGUCUCAAGCGUUGUUCGGAAUCACUGGGCGUAAAGCGUGCGUAGGCGGUUUCGUAAGUCGUGUGUGAAAGGCAGGGGCUCAACCCCCGGACUGCACAUGAUACUGCGAGACUAGAGUAAUGGAGGGGGAACCGGAAUUCUCGGUGUAGCAGUGAAAUGCGUAGAUAUCGAGAGGAACACUCGUGGCGAAGGCAGGUUCCUGGACAUUAACUGACGCUGAGGCACGAAGGCCAGGGGAGCGAAAGGG